CUUUCUCACAGGAUAGUGCUAAGCAGUGGGACAGAUCUAGACUUCUACCCAUUGCUGGAUCACAUGCAGUUAAUAUUCUACGUAUUUUUUUGUUCUGUGCAAAGAGGAAGAGACAUGUGCAUGAGAGUCAAUUGGCAGUUGUCAACAGUGUAUAUUACACUCUACCUUGGAAUGCAGCAUGGCUACAACCAAUAAGGAUCUACAAUCAUAUUUAUAAUAUGGACAGAAAACUUGAAAGAUUCAAAAAGAAAAAAAUCAAUCAAUGUCAACUUUGAGAACUAUAGAGACAAAAAUCAUCACCCUACUUUGCUGCUAUGAGUUCUAAACCAUUGAAAGAAUAAGCAGAAUUAAAGUUAAUGAUAUACAAUAUAUUAACUCUAUUACAGGAAAAUUAUCUUGGAGAGUUUACCUUUAUUUGUAGGCAUUAAGAAACCUCAGGACAAGAAGGGUUACCCAUUCAGGAAGAGGAAUACUUGAACUGCUAACAGUUCAGGGGCUUUGCCCUGUGGGGAUUUUUCCACUAUGAGAAGAAAGAGACAAGGUAUAUAACAUUGUAUGUUCAAAAAAACAUGAUAAUUUCUAAAGGUAAAAGGAAGAAAUUCCAAAGAACUUUAUUGCUUCUUAUUUUUCCAAUAAGAUACAUUAUUUCUUUGUUGAACAACUGUGUGGUACAGGGAGGGAGUCAGUAAUGAUACAUCAAUGAAACUCCUACCAUAUGAACAAAACAUCACGAAGAAAUAGAAUCCAUUUCUAGACUAUCAUCUUCCCCAACUUUUUGUUCCUGUACUGAAUUAGGCAAAGCCACUUCAUUGAUAAGUAUCCCAUAGUAUCAUCA
rnacentral:lncRNA from 1 species